rnacentral:misc_RNA from 1 species
AAGUCGUAACAAGGUUUCCGUAGGUGAACCUGCGGAAGGAUCAUUAACACAUCCUUUUAUCUAUAUAUGCAUUGUGGCACAGUGAGCCUCUUGGGAGAAAUGCCGCUGUAUGGCAAGGUGCGAUUGGAGGAGGCGCUUCGCCUGCCUUCACUGGCCAUGCCGGCCUGCAGUCCUCGGAUUGCAAGUUUCUCUUGAAUGUGUCAAAACAGUAUUCGUACACCUUGCUGGAACCUUUUUUUUUAACUUGAUUUUUGUAUUGAAUUGGCUGGGAUCGAGAAGGGCUCCUCGUGGGUCUGCCUCUCUUGGCUUUUUGAUGGAGCAAUCCAUUGAAAAAUUAACUAAAACACAACUCUUAACAGCGGAUAUCUCGGUUCUC